UACGUAGGUUGCAAGCGUUGUCCGGAUUUAUUGGGUUUAAAGCGUGCGUAGGCGGCUUUGUAAGUCAGUGGUGAAAUAUGGCAGCUCAACUGUCAAGGUGCCAUUGAUACUGCAGAGCUUGAGUACAGAUGAGGUAGGCGGAAUUGACGGUGUAGCGGUGAAAUGCUUAGAUAUCGUCAAGAACACCGAUAGCGAAGGCAGCUUACUAGGCUGUAACUGACGCUGAGGCACGAAAGUGUGGGGAGCAAACAGG
rnacentral:rRNA from 1 species